GAAGACCAAGGGUUCCUGUCCAACGUUAAUCGGGGCAGGGUGAGUCGACCCCUAAGGCGAGGCCGAAAGGCGUAGUCGAUGGGAAACAGGUUAAUAUUCCUGUACUUGGUGUUACUGCGAAGGGGGGACGGAGAAGGCUAUGUUAGCCGGGCGACGGUUGUCCCGGUUUAAGCAUGUAGGCUGGUUGUCCAGGCAAAUCCGGAUAAUCAAGGCUGAGGUGUGAUGACGAGGCACUACGGUGCUGAAGU
rnacentral:rRNA from 1 species